rnacentral:misc_RNA from 1 species
UGACCCUACGUAAAACCCUCACUCUUCAUCUUCUCAAAUUAAAAGGACAAAAAAGAAAAAUCCCAAUAAUGUCUUCACCACCACUGCAAGAAGUGGGGGUGAAGAAUCGAUUUCUAGGGUUUCUGAUAUGGCAAUCCAUUACCUCUUCCGCCGUCUUCAUCCUCUUCCAAACUUUGCUUCUCUCACCUCUCACUUACACUAAUUUAGCACCACCAUCGAUCCUUUCCUUUGUUGCUUUCCUAAUUUUUCACCUCUCGCAGCUCUUCUUCACUGCAUCACUCUCUCUACUCUCAUCUCCCCAGCCCUACUCUCCUGCAUCACCAUUACAGCUCGCCGUCUCUCUCCUCCUUUUCCUUUUCGUCUCCAGCGACUCUUUCUCUUCCCGUG